rnacentral:lncRNA from 1 species
GGAUGGAAACAGGAUUCAUCUUCUAUGUCAUCUAGUUUCCUGUCACCAAGACAGACCCUGAGGAAACCCUCAGCUUCGCUCCCUCCUGCCACCAACAGUAACAGUUGCCUAAACUGAUUUCUAGGACCUUUGAGGUCUUUGAACAACCUGAAGCCUGCAGCCAUUCACUUUAGUCUGUGUAAGGCUGGUACCACUAUGACGUCCCAGAACUCAGGCCUGCGCUCUCCGAGCAUGCUACCGCUAGCGUUUCCUGAGCAUGCGCUCUCCGAGCAUGCUGCCGCUAGCGUUUCCUGAGCAUGCGCUCUCCGAGCAUGCUACCACUAGCGUUUCCUGAGCAUGCGCUCUCCGAGCAUGCUACCGCUAGCGUUUUCUGAGCAUGCGUGCUAUGAAAGCCCAUGCUGCUCGCUCGUGUCAUAAGUAAAGGCUUUUGAUCUUGCCUGCGGCUCAGAAGUCCCUGUUUCUUAGCUCAUAAUUAUAUAAUCUGGGGCUGGCAAGGUGGCUUGGCAGGUAAAGGCUCUUGCCAUGAAAGGUUGACGGCCUUCGAGCGAGAGUUCAAUCCCCGGAACCGCCAUGAAAAUGGAUAGAGUUGACUCCACAAAGCCGUCCUCUGACCCCUGCAGCGGCUUCACCACACACAUUGUUUCUGGAGAAGUGGUGUGCACACUUAGGUGCUAGAGGCAGGAGGAUUGCCCCAAGUUUGAGGCCACCCUGGCCUGCACAAUGAGUUCCAGGCGAGCCAGAGACACUGGCUCCAAAUAAACAAACAAGUGAACAAAGAAACAAAACUCAACACGGGCCCACUGAGGAGGAUCAGCAGAUCGGCAAUGUGGGCCUCGGAUCCUGUGUUACCAGGGCUGCUGGGCUUGAACCCACUGAGGGCUGAAGGAGAGCACGAGGAUACAGUAACUAACCGUUUGCCAAAGUGAAGCCACUUGGGGAUGGCCGUGCUAAUCGCCUUCACGGCGGACAUGCGUGUGAAAUAUCAUAAAGCAUAUACAGAAUUGCGUGUAUCAAUUAAAGAUUUCCCCCCAGGUUGGGUCAGUAAGAUGGUUCAGUAGUUAACAUGCUUGCCCACCACCACUGCCCCCAAGCCUGAGGUCCUGAGUUCAAUGCCCAGGCCCUGCUUGGGAGAAGGAAAGAACUGACCCCUGCAAGAUGUCCUCUAACCUCCACGUAUGCACUGUAGUAUGCGUGCGCACUCCUAAACCUUCCCUGG